GACGAACGCUGGCGGCGUGCCUAAUACAUGCAAGUAGAACGCAGUUGCGAACGGGUGAGUAACGCGUAGGUAACUGCCUCAUAGCGGGGGAUAACUAAUGGAAACGAUAGCUAAUACCGCAUACUGGGAGCUGGACCUGCGUUGUAUUGGCUAGUUGGUGAGGUAAAGGCUCACCAAGGCGACGAUACAUUGCCGACCUGAGAGGGAGAUCGGCCACACUGGGACGGGGACACGGCCCAGACUCCUACGGGAGGCAGCAGGAGGGAAACUUCGGAAAAGGGCGGAAGGCUUACCGAGCAACUCCGCGUGAGUGAAGAAGGUUUUCGGAUCGUAAAGCUCUGUUGUUAGAGAAGCGGUACCUAACGAGAAAGGAACGGCUAACUACGUGCCAGCAGCCGCGGUAAUUC
rnacentral:rRNA from 1 species